rnacentral:snRNA from 1 species
GGAUGUCGGGGCAAUCUGGCUGCAACUCUCACUUCAUUAUCACCAGGGUUGAUUUCACUGAUCUGGCUGGCUAGGCAGGUGUCCCAUUCUUCCCUCACUACUCCAUAUGCAUCCCUCCCAAAGUUGCACACUCGGUCAAAGUGGAAAACUUUCCCCAGUAUCGAUGUACUAUUCAUGGGUCAAGAAUAUACGGUAGCUGUUCUCCCCUGCUAGAAUGUGCAAACAAGCUCAAGGUCCAGUUGUAGGAGAACAUAGAGUAGUCAAGCUUCCAAGACUGCAGACACAUCGAAGUGAGAAGCUGCUUGGGGCAGUCUGCCAUUGCUU